UAUCAUUUUUACACUUUAAUGUUUUUCUUUUUUAUGAAAAAGGAAAUUUAAUUACAAAAUCAAACAAAGUAAACAAAUAUCCCUUGCAUCAUCCGAAAUAAUAAUGCCUAAAAUACGAAAUGAAAAAUUAACUACAACUAAGUCAAAAAAUGAGAAGAGUGACGCUUAUUAUCUAAACGAUCAACACACAAUUGACCUCUCAAAAGACACAAAUAACUGAAAUUUUCAAAUUCAAACUUUGAAGAAGAUAAAUAAUCUCUUGGAGGAGAUGUUUGAUAUGCACAUUUGAAGACUAUCCAAAAUGGAUCAUAUUGACCACCACAACUAAGUUUAAUUCAAAAGUAACUGAAGAAAGAUUUGGUUGUUGUGCAAACUUGAUACUCAUAAUUCAUUCUUAAAGCUCGAAACUCAGCCUAAAUCCUAGACUAAGAAUCAACUCGAACAAGACCACCACAAGUAGAACUACCAAAAAAAGCUCUAAAAGAACCAUCCACAGUAACUCUCUGUUGGAGAAUCAUGAGAUAGACUUUUAAAAUCAUUUUAAAGUUAUUCUCAUAAGUGGAAAAUUUUCAUAGCCAAGAACCAUAUAAGCUUAAUUUUUUUAUAGAUGAAUUCAUGUGUUUACCUAUUGAAGCGUUGAGAAUGAUAUAAAUCCCUUUUUGAUUGUGCUUAAACACAUGAUAUGUUUCUUGUUUCUCAAAUCAUCUUCUUUGAUUUUAUUAUGGACCUAAUCGAUUUAUCUGUGGAGUCCUAGAAGUGGUUCGAAUAUCAAGAUCUAGAUUUUCGACAAGAAUUACUCACCAAAAGUUUGCCAUAAGAUUUUCUUCUCCUUGAUAAUGCUGCAUCUCAGGAUCCACGUAGUGUUUCAGUUUCAAUUCUUCAUCAAUUCAAUAUUUUGCCUGAGAUGUAUCAAGUUGGCUACACAGAAUCAUUUUUCCGAACGGGGCAGGUAAUGUUUAUCAUUUGAAUUUUAUAUUGUGAAAAUUAACAACAGCAGCAGCAACAACAAUAAUAAUAGUAAUAAAUAUUAUAAUGCAAAAUAUUAUAAGCAAUGAUUGACAUCUAGUAAUACAUCAUUGUUUCCUAAAUCAUAAGAAAAUUAGUUGUAUGAUUUAACCCUUAUUGCGACCACUAUUUAAGGUGUAGUAAUUGUUCUUUCGUCCAAAUGUAUAAAUGAGCGUUGCCAUACUUGCAAAGUACAAUUAUUUAUUUAUCGAUUUUGAUGUUGACUUUGCAAA